UACGUAGGGUGCGAGCGUUGUCCGGAAUUAUUGGGCGUAAAGGGCCUCGUAGGCGGUUUGUCGCGUCGGGAGUGAAAUCCACUGGCUUAACUGGUGGCUGCUUCGAUACGGGCAGACUGGAGGUAUGCAGGGGAGAACGGAAUUCCUGGUGUAGCGGUGAAAUGCGCAGAUAUCAGGAGGAACACCGGUGGCGAAGGCGGUUCUCUGGGCAUGUCCUGACGCUGAGGAGCGAAAGCGUGGGGAGCGAACAGG
rnacentral:rRNA from 1 species